CAGCAGCCGCGGGAAUACAGAGGAGGCAAGCGUUGUCCGGAAUUAUUGGGCGUAAAGGGCUCGCAGGCGGUUUCUUAAGUCUGAUGUGAAAGCCCCCGGCUCAACCGGGGAGGGUCAUUGGAAACUGGGAAACUUGAGCGCAGAAGAGGAGAGUGGAAUUCCACGUGCAGCGGUGAAAUGCGUAGAGAUGUGGAGGAACACCAGUGGCGAAGGCGACUCUCUGGUCUGUAACUGACGCUGAGGAGCGAAAGCGUGGGGAGCGAACAGGAUUAGAUACCCCCGUAGUCCCUGUCUCUUAUAC
rnacentral:rRNA from 1 species